rnacentral:rRNA from 1 species
GGAGUGAAACCAAUUAAUACCAACACCAAUACAAUGUGAACCUCUUACUGUCGGUCCGCUGGGACGGAUUAGCUUCCGCCCCGGUGCAGUCCGGGCCAUGUUCAUUGGUUCGGAUUGGGUUCGCCCACACAACACAAUUUGUGUUGUGUGAAGCGCGCUGGCCCCUAUCAAAACAAACCAUAUUAACACCAAACCAAAACCUUUCUUGAAUCUUACUAAAUGCGGUAGGCCCGGCCUCUGCAUCUAACUAAGACAACUCUCAACAACGGAUAUCUUGGCUCUCGCAACGAUGAAGAACGCAGCGAAAUGCGAUACGUAGUGUGAAUUGCAGAAUUCCGUGAACCAUCGAAUCUUUGAACGCAUAUUGCGGUCGAGGCUUCUGCCGAGACCAUGUCUGCCUCAGCGUCGGGUUUAUAUCACUCCCUAUAUACCUUGUUGUAUAUAAGAGUGGACCUGGCCGUUCCAGCUAGGCCCUGCUUUCGAAAGAAGCAACCAGGCUCUGGAUCGGCUGAAGAUCAGAGUUCUGACCGAGGACCCUUCAAGGGCCGCAACUGGGUGGGCAUUUCCAAUGCUAAGCUUUAGUUGUUGGCCUGGGAUUUCGGUUGUCGACCUCAAACAGGAAACCCACAACUCAUUAUAUUCUCGACCUGAGCUCAGCAAGAACACCCGCUGAACUUAAGCAUAUCAUAGCGGGAGGAGAAAGGAUCAUUGAAUCUUCAAUACCACACCAAUACCAUGGUGAACCUUCUAACUUGUCGGU